UGAAGAAAUGUUUUGUGCACUUACACUGGCUGACCAGUAGGUGGCAGGUAUGGAGCGACACAUCAGACUCCAAUGUAGAGGUUUAUGUGCAAGUACAACAUCAACACUGACACGAAUACAAGCAAACAGCCUUUGAAUAGCAGUAACUGUAACUGUAGUGACCACUGUGUGUGAAAGGAUUCAUAAUAACUGUUAUUAAGUCUGUGUUUCUGAUCUGUGUGUGUGUGUGUGUGUGUCAGUCUGUUGGAGGAAGUGAAGGGCUCUCAGGUGAAGAGGACUCUGGGGGUCCUGCAGGUGCCUGAGAGAUCUGGACAGAGACAUCACUGUGGUGGCCAACAAGGCAAAGGACAACGUCAAGUAUCUUUACACCCUCAGCAAGUUCUUUGGAUCAUGAAGCUUCAUCUGCCCAUCCCUACCUACAGGUUUAAGAUGUGUCCUUGAUCCAACACAGCUGAUUUAAAUGGCUAAAUGACCUCCUCAACAUACCUUGGCUGCGCGUAGUACACGUACUUCAAGUGUGCGGUCUCUUAAUUGGGACACAGCCCUUGAAGUUCUCCAGAGGCCUGGUAAUAAACUAAUCAUUUGAUUCAGGUGUGUUGACCCAGGGUGAGGUCUAAAACCUCCAGGACACCGGCUCUCAAGGCCUGGAGUUCCCUACCUCUGCAUUAGUGCCUAUAUAUAGGCAGUGCAAAAUUUUGUACUGGGUUUCUCCCUGGUGGUUGCAAGUGAAAGUAAACCUAACUAUGCUAAUAGUUCCUUUCGAUUCCUCCUCAGUAUAUUGAUUAUUAAGAUCUGCCUCCCAUUUUUCAAUAGCACUCAAUGUACUGCUACUGUGAGCAUAGAGUGAUGAAUAAAAAGCAGAAGUAAAAUGAGUUCUGUAUGUUUCCUUCAUAAGAAAUGUCUCCAAGUCAUCAUAUAUAGCUGUUUCUAAAAAUUGUGACAUUUUAGAAUGAACACAGUUAUGAAUCUGGAGAAAGCUAAAAAAAAAAAAUGUUCUCAAGAAAAAUGAAAAUGUGACUUCAAUUGUUGAAAGUUCACCAAUGUGAUGUUUUGAUAAAGGUCACCAAUCAUUUGUAACCUGUUGUUACGCCACAUAUCAAACAGACUGCAGUUUCUCAAUAAAGGGGUUAAAAACAA